rnacentral:rRNA from 1 species
CCCUUAGAUGUUCUGGGCCGCACGCGCGCUACACUGACUGCUCCAACAAGUUACCUGGGCUGACAAGCAUCCGGGAAAUCUUGCAAAGGCAGUCGUGCUGGGGAUAGAUUCUUGUAAUUUUUGAUCUUCAACGAGGAAUUCCUAGUAAACGCAAGUCAUCAGCUUGCAUUGAUUACGUCCCUGCCCUUUGUACACACCGCCCGUCGCAUCUACCGAUUGAAUGGAGAGGCAAAAUCUUCGGACCGUGACGCUUGGGAGUCAAAUCUCGGGCUGUCGUGGGAAGUGGAUUAAACCUUUCUAUUUAGAGGAAGGUAAAGUCGUAACA